AUGUCGUAUAGACGCUGUGUGUUUCACUGUGAUUUGUUUGGCCUUCCAGAAGAGGACGAUAUCCACUUUGUCAUGCCUGGAGCUGAUCCGUGCUGGUCACUGAGGAAAUACAUCAACUUUGCACUGUGGAUCGCCGGAUUGGCUUUCACCGUGGAUGAAGCGGAGUCCAGCCCGGGGUCGUCACAUGUGGUUGCUACAAGACCAAGGUUCUGUCAUAAUCAUCAUCCGGCAUCUCACUUUUGGCAGUUUAACUUGCACUUGAGUUGGGCAACAACACUACUUUUGUCACUCUUUCAAAAAUGCAGCUGUCUGGGAGCCUUCAAAGAUCAUUCCACCAUGUUACAAGGACAUUUGGGGGUCAUUCAUUAACUCAAAUCCUCAUGAAGUAGAUUUCAGCUUUAGAGAUUUAAAUUUAGCUUAAACUUUAUAAGUGUUCUUCAGCAUUUUUAAAAAUAUAGUCUCUUUCUUAUGCUAAAGGUGAUGUGUGCAUUUUUUUAUACUAAAAUUUUUUCUCCUGCUGCACCUUAAUAAUGCAGAGACAACUAUAAGCAAGCCAUCUGCAUGAAAAAAGGAAAAAGGAGAUAAACAUUGCUCUGGAAACCUGUUUUUAAACAAUGCUUCAUUCACUUGUUUUAAAAAAAAAUGUUUUUACUGGUAUUCAUAAUGGCACACUUUGCGUUAUUUGACAAUUUUGCUGCAGAUGCUCUCAAACAAGACAAAGUUCUCGAGAGUGAGUGAAUAGUGAGGUUGCACGGAUUAUUCUAAUAUCAAAGUGGUUUUGGCAUAUUUUAUGCAACAAAUUAGUUGUGGGCACAUGCUUGGUCCCUCAUACUACAAUAAUAAUCCAGAUUCAUGUACAUUUGAGUGAGCCGGCAAAUUUCAGGACAAAUUUACUCCACAUAUAAAUACACAAAUUGUACAGCAUCAAAUAAAAAUCACUACAUCCACCACAAUGCAGACCACAAAAUACUGGAAAAUGAAACAGCAAUCCUUGCACACGUUCACAAUACAGAACAAUUAUGCUUGCACACACACCCUCCCCUCCACAACCCCCCCCACCCCCCCCCACCAAAUCACCCAUAUACAUCAAUGGGAGACUAUAAAAAUAUAGUUUUUUUUGCAGAUAACACAAAAAUUGAAGGAGUGACACCACAGCAUAUCCACGAUGGAGCUAAAACACACACACAAAAAAAAAACUUGUGAAAAAGAUCUAUACCUAUGUGGAAAUGGCAAAUGAGCCAUUGUGGCUGUAGUUAAAAUUUCAUGUUUUUUUUUUCUCAUAUUAUUUUAAAAGUGUUUAUUUUUAAAUAGAUGGAAACAAUUUGGCAUUAAACUAUGGCACAUUGGCCAUUUUAUCACAAUGAAUUAAAAUUAGGAAUGUGGGUCUUUUAUAAAGUGAAUUUUACAUGAGCUGUUUAUAUAUAUAUAAUGAUGCGACUUUAAUUUUUCCUUUCUCUUUGGAGUGUUACAAGCUCUUGGUGUAUAAAGAAGAUCUGUAAAAUUGCAAAGACUAAAGUGUCAAAUCCAAAUAGAUAUUCUUUAUAAAAGUUAAGACUUGUCCACAUCCCCCUAAAACGGCUCGUUCUGACACGCCCCCACAUCUCUACAUCACUAUGUGGGAAGAUUUGCAUGACACCGCCCAGAUGUUCACACAAAGAAAGAAGGCGUCCCUUUUAUUCUCAUUGUAGUAUUGUUGUUGCCGCCGGAUAGGCUUUCACCAUGGACAAAGUGGAGUCCAGCCCAGGGUUGUCACAUGUGGUUGCCGCAAAACCAAGGUACACUCCUUCAUAGAAUCCACCUGCCGUGCCAUUCACAAUCCGCCCACUUCUGCUCACUCAAGCCGGCCUCCGCUCACUCAAGGCCAUGGUGUGUGACGUUGUUUCAUUGAGAAAGCGAAACUACUUUGUUUGGCCUUCCAAAAGAAGACACGACUAGAAAUCAUGUUUAUAUCACGUUUGUAAUGGGUUUUAUGUUUAUGUCUUGUCGCUCCGACCAGACAAGGGAUCACAAUAUGUUAAGGGGUGUAACAUUUCCGUCACAAGCUUGAGGUAUUCGGCCAAUUACAAUGCACUGGAUAGCUGGCCAAUCAGAGCAUACCUCGCUUUUCAGACCAAUGAGCUUUGUAAAAAAUCGACAUGUUUCAGAAGGCAGGGCAUAGAGGAGAAACAAUAAUGUACAGUAUGUGGAAAAUGUGUUUUUUGAACCUUAAACCUUAUAAACACAUUUCAUUACACCAAAUACACACAAAAAAAAUAUUUUUAGCAGCAUCAUAUGACCCCUUUAACCUAGAUAAAUGUGUGCUGUUAGGUGCAUAUCCAAUUGUUUGUGGAGAUGGAGUUGCCAGCACGAUCACUUUCUUAACAGUGAAAACACUUAAAAUACGCUGUCAUUUUUAUUCAUAAAUCUCAAAACUGUGCUUUUGUAAAAUAAAGAAAACAAACAGGAUGUGCUUUCUGCCAUCUCUGUCUUGAGUAGGAGCGCUUCACAAAAGUGAACCAAAACUCAGAGUAUACUUGCCUCACAGACUUGUUAAAUAUAUCUAUAGAAAGUUUCAAAUGACUACUUUAAAAUGAAAUAAUUCAAAUCAAAAACAAAAAUUCUUUCAUUAUGUAAUCCGUAAAGAUUCUUUUCUCAAGGCAUGUCAAAUGAGGAGAUGGUGAGUCAGGAUCGUCAAUUUCAUCUCAAACAUUUUUUUGCUUGUGGGCCCAAAGCUGACUUGCUACGCCAGAGGUGACAACUAAUUGGAAUCUACAUUUAUUAAGGCUUAGAUGUGGAGAGUUUACACCAUGUGGGGACAGAUGGUAAAUUUGCAUGAAAGACACUGGAAAAUGGCACACCCUCUAAGCAACAUAUCUAAACUCUUAGGAUCUGUAUUACAUUUUAGUCUACUACUUGUAUUGAGACAAUUGCUCCAGUACCAGAUACAAUUCAAUUGAUACUGACUGUAAAUGACUGUAACUAUCACUAGCAUUCAUGUCGAAUAUUAUAUUUUGCUGUUGACCAUUCUGAGUGAGCUGAGUGAAGGAAAGGAUGAGUAGGGGGAAAGAAGUGGACGAAAAGGAACAAUAUAUAGGUGAGAAAGGAGUUUUUCCGCAUCUUCAUUCAGUGAGAUGUGGAAACAGUUGUCUGUAUGUUAAUACACUGUUUUAUUGUUCGUAUCCCAGAAGAUCAAAGUGUCUGAGGUUCUUCAAGUCUUAGAACGCUAUUAUUUUUGCAAUUCUUAUGGAACGCAUAAAUUACACACAUCAUCUUUACUCAUCUCAACUCCCAAAUGUUGAAUUUUGAUCUUCCAUCUGUUUAGUUUUCCAGUACAUUCUGAAUAACCUCAAACUCUCUGCUAUCACAUUCAUCAUUUAAAUAUUGUUUCAGUCUUCUAAGCACAUUUGGUACAUACAGGUACUCUCUGGCAUCCCAUUACUCCUACCUUUUCUCAUUUAAAAUGGGCAUUCCUUGACCUUUUUUGUGGAGUUCAAACAAGUGUAGUGGAG
rnacentral:lncRNA from 1 species